AUUGAACGCUGGCGGCAGGCCUAACACAUGCAAGUCGAGCGAGCGGCGGACGGGUGAGAAAUGUAUGGGGACUGCCCGAUAGAGGGGGAUAACUACUCGAGACGGUAGCUAAUACCGCAUACGCUCGGAUAGCCCACAGGGGAGUAGCUAGUUGGUGAGGUAAUGGCUCACCAAGGCGACGAUCCCUAGCUGGUCUGAGAGGAUGAUCAGCCACACUGGGACUGAGACACGGCCCAGACUCCUACGGAGGCAGCAGUGGGGAAUAUUGCACAAUGGGCGCAAGCCUGAUGCAGCCAUGCCGCGUGUAUGAAGAAGGCCCUAGGGUUGUAAAGUACUUUCAGUCGGGAGGCGUUACCGACAGAAGAAGCACCGGCUAACUCCGUGCCAGCAGCCGCGGUAAUUU
rnacentral:rRNA from 1 species